rnacentral:rRNA from 1 species
UACAGAGAGUGCAAACGUUGUUCGGAAUUACUGGGCUUAAAGCGCACGUAGGUGGCGUCGUAAGUGUCAGGUGAAAUCCCACGGCUCACCCGUGGAACUGCCUGGCAGACUGCGAUGCUCGAGUGUGGUAGGGGAGAGCGGAACUCUUGGUGGAGCGGUGAAAUGCGUAGAUAUCAAGAGGAACACCGGUGGCGAAGGCGGCUCUCUGGUCCACAACUGACACUGAGGUGCGAAAGCUAGGGGAGCAAACGGG